AGCAGACUAAACGGUCGCGGGUACGGAAACGUACAUGAGGAAAGUCCGGGCUUCACAGGGCAAGGGUGCCGGCUAAUUACCGGUGAAGGCGACUUUAAGGAAAGUGCAACAGAAAUAGACUGCCGGAUUUUUCCGGCGAUGGUGGAAAGGCAAGGUAAGAGCUUACCGCGCUUGCGGUAACGCAGGCGGCUCUGUAAACCCCACCCGAAGCAAGGUAUACAAGACACUAUGCGGCUGCCCGUCGCGUCUUAAACACCGCUUGAGCAUAUCGGAGACGGUAUGCCUGGAUAGAUGACCGUUCACGACAGAACCCGGCUUAUCGGUCUG
rnacentral:RNase_P_RNA from 1 species